CGCCUGUUGGACAAUGGGUUAAGUCACCAGACUUUCAAUCUGGCGUAACGGGUUCGAGUCCCGUACAGGCGA
rnacentral:tRNA from 1 species